GACAUUGAUGAUGACGGAUUUGUGAAAAUGCAUGACAUAGUUCGCGAUGUAGCCAUAUGGAUAGGCAAAGUGGAGAAGAAAUAUUUUACUAGUAAAGUUGGCAUUGGAUUGGCGGAAUGGGCAGUGGAAGAAGGCCUAGAACAAUACAGAGGAAUCUCUUUGGUGGGAAAUGAAAAAGUAGAGCUUCCUAGCGGUUUGGUAUGCCCUAGCCUUCAUAUUUUGCGACUGGAGAAUACUCUAUAUGGCAACAAAUUGCAAGUUCCGGAACAUUUUUUUAAAGAGAUGUCAGCACUGAAAGUUGUUACUAUAAUAGGUGGAGUCCUUUCAGUUAAAUCACUUCAAUUCCUCGCCAAUAACCUUCGAGUUCUGCAGUUGAUUCGAUGUGAUGUGAGCGACGCGUCUUUUCUUGGAAAGUUGAAGAGACUUCAAAUUCUCUGUCUCCAGCGGUCUGCCAUUGAAAUUCCAAAUGGAUUGGGGGAUGAACUUAGUAGAUUGAAACUUCUGUAUAUUGAUACUUGCUCCAUUUCUCCCAUUACGAUAAAUAAAUUUCCUCAAUUAGAAGAAUUUUAUGGUGUGAUAAAAAAUUGGGAGGUUGAAGGGAUGAGUUCAUAAGAAAGUUACGCUAGGUGUGCUGAGUCGGACUCCCAAUCCGACGAGUCGGACUCCCAACCCGACGGAUCCGUUGUAUGUCUUCCAAAAGACUUUUCAUUUCCGAAAUUACAAAGGUAUGACAUCAAUAAAGCUGACAGCAAUGAUUGUACAAUUUAUAGAGGGAGAAGGAGCUUAUACAUUAAGAAUAACCAUCCUAAAGCAACACUAGUUAUUUUUUCAGCAUAGUAUCCAGAAUUGGAAAAUCUUUAUCUAAAUAGGGUAAGAGGUUGUCAUAAUAUUGUGCCAAGCAUAGAUGAAAGGGGAUUAAAUGAGUUGACUAUUCUUCAUGUCACCGAUUGUAAAGAUUUGGAAUGCAUAAUGGAUGCCUCUAAGUCGCCGCAUCGAAAGAGUGGGAAUCCUGUGAUGCUCUCAAGAUUAGCAAGGUUAUAUAUCUCAAAAUUACCAGAACUGAAGUGGAUAUGGAAGGCGCCCACCCAACAUGUGAUCAGCCUCCAAUCUCUUACAGAAUUGAGUGUGUCAGAGUGCAACAACUUGACUUAUAUCUUCACGUUGUCACUGGCUCGAAAUCUGUUGCAAUUGAAGGAGUUAGCUGUUUUUAAUUGUCGGGGAUUAGAGCAAAUCAUUGAUGAGUAUGAGGAUGAGGAUCAUCUCCAACCUGUAUGUUUCCCAAAACUCACAUGGAUCGUUGUCCGUUAUUGCCCCAAACUAAAGCAUCUAUUUCAUAUCAGCGUAGCUCUAAGUCUUCAAAAACUGAAGCAACUAUACAUAGUAGGUAAUGAUGAAUUAGAAGAAGUAUUCUGCCAUAAAGAUGGAGCAGACGUCACGGAUUACAAUGAAAUUGUUAUGAAUGAACUUCGGCACUUGAUACUGGAAGACUUACCAAACCUCACCAACUUUUGGCCUGCGGGUUAUAAGAUCCCAUUUCCAUCUGCAUCCUAUGGAGCUGUUGUUCGUAAUUGUCCCAAGCUUAAGUGGAAAUUCAUAAGGAGAAGAUGAUUCCGAGAAUUCUGGAGCAGAGGUAAUUCUUGAGAACUUUAAAUUAAUUGACUCUAUACAUAGUUGGUUCAUGUUUUCGUUUGUGAUAGCUAAUUGAUCUAUCCUAAAAUCAAAAUUUCUCUUUCAAUAUAUAUAUGUGUUAUAUUAUAAUUUUCUCUGUUUGUUUUUUUUUUUUAUCAUUUUAUUCAUCAUUCAAUCGUAUUUAAUGCCCAAUUUAUUGGUUGGAUAUAUAGGCACAGCAAACUACAGACGAGGCAGAUGCCAGCCAAGAGAGGAAGACGCCAGCGAAGAAAAAGAUGGCAGCAAACAUGAAUGAUUUCAAAAAAUUCCAAAAAUCCCAAAAAAAAAAAAAACACAUUUCAGCAUGUUCAGUUCGCACAAGAAGCUAAUAAUAAGCUUUGUUCUAUACUUGUUUAAUAUUUCGUGCGUGCUCAAAUUGUGAAGAAUAAAGUUUCAAGGCUUUGUUGUGUGUAUCUCAAGAUUUAUUCAACUUUAAAAUUCACCUGUUCCGUUUGUGAUCAUUAUUUCUUCAAUUGUUGAAAUUUUGAUAAAAUUGCUGGCUAAAUUGAUGGCCUUUUCGAUGGGCAUUAAUUGUGCCAAUUUAGUAGUUGCACGCAUUUUCUAGACGGCGAAGAAAGUGUGUAAUGUUGUGACAGUAAUAAUUUUUAUUUUUUAAAAUAAAGUGUGUGAUGUUGUGACAGCAAUAAUUUUUAGUAGUAGCACGCAUUUUCUACACACACCCCAGCAGUGACUGUGUAUCGUGACUGGUAGUGACUGGCUUAUUUGAAAAAAUAACACUAAGCGUACCCUUAUUUCAUCCCGCCUUCCGCAAAUUCCGGCCAUGCAUUCUAUUUUCGUAGGUGAACAUUUUACAGCGGUAAUGAUCAGAUUUCUUUCCCCUAUAUCGUGUAGCAUUUAAUGCAAGUAGCUGAGAAGGCCCAGCCCAGGCGCUCUUGACAACGCAAAAGUCGUCUAAAACAACAAAAUAUUUUGUUGAUCUUUUACUUUUCUUCAUUAAAAGUAUACAAUUUAUUUUCACCAAAUCCAAGAGCGUGUCAGAAAAAUGAUGUCCCAAAAAAUGACUUAUCAUACUGAGAAAUAUUUAUUCAAGGUUGAAACAUAUUUACUUGGGGAGCAUAAUAAAAAUAGAUGCAUAUAACAGCUAAUAGGAUCGCUAACAAUAGACUAAAUUAAAACGCCAAAGAAUCUCAUAAAAAAAGGGAUUACAUUAGCGACUGGACGGUUAAUAAAAAAAAUUUGGGCUAAGCCGAGCCUCUUUUUUUUUUAUACGAGUGAAAUUUUUUCUUAAAGCUUUAUCAUUAAAUUUUGGAUGUAACUAUUUAUACUUUAAACACCUUUAUUUUCAUAACACCCCCAUUAAAAAUUGUCAGAUUUGCAAAUAUAGGGUUUACUCUAUAAAACCCGUCAAAAUGCAAAAUCUAUUCUUAAUAUUUUUUCUUCUCUCAUCUUCAUCCUUCACCCAUUUUUUUGUAUCUCGAAAACUCUUAACAGCAAAGGAAAAAAAAUCUCUUGUACUACAAUAAACUUAUGAUACUUUUGUAUUAACUCGUUAGAAUUCUUUCGUAUUAACAAAAAAUACUUACAAGAAAAAUUCAUUUUCUUCGAUCUAUAGUAUUUUUAUAUAUAUGUGGUUCCCAUUUUACCUACGUUUCAUUGAGAUUAAAAAUUUAAAGGGAAAUAAACGGUUAAUUGAGGGCUCAGCUAUCUUGCAAUAGUUGUAAGGUACUACUAAUUUUUUAUUUUUUCUUGAUUUCAGUCAUUUACCAUUAGAUUUAAGAAAAAAAUAAUUUUAAUGAUAGAUAUUUGUUCAUUUGAAUAUUAACAUUACACUCCCUAUUAUUUAUUAAAAACACAAACAAGUUAAAGAGUUAAAAUUUUUAACACAUAAGUUCGGAUUGUUUUCAAUUUAUAUUGUUUAAUUAGUAGUGAGUAUUAAAAAAUCAAUUAUAUUUUUAAUAUUAUAUAUUUUAUUUAAAAGAAUAAAUUUUUAAUAUUAUUUAUUUUAUUAAAAAUAAAUCUUAUUUAAUAUUAUUUAUUUCAUUUUAUUUAAUAUUAUUUAGUCAUAUGCUUAUUAUUAUAUUUAUUCUUUCAAAAAACUAAAUAACAUUAAAUAAAAUAAAAUAACUAGUAGGGAGACUUAAAAAUAAAUAUUAUUUUUUAUUUAACAUUAAUUAAUCAUAAGCUUAUUAUUAUAAAUAAUAUUUAAAAAAUAAAAAUAAUAUUAAUAAAAUAAAAUAAUAAAUAGUGAGCCUUAAAAAUAUAUAUCAUUUUUAAUAUUAUUUAAUUUAAUUUAAUUUAAUAUUAUUUAGUCACAGACUUACUAUUAUAUUUAUUCUUUCAUAAAACUAAAUAAUGUUAAAUAAAAUAAAAUAAUAAGUAAUGAGUGUUAAAAAAUUAAUAAUAUUUUUUAUUUAGUCAUAGGCUUAUAAUUAUAUUUAUUCUUUAAAAAACUAAAUAAUAUUAAAAAAUAAAUAGUGUCUUAAAAAUAAUAUCAUUUUUAAUAUUAUUUAAUUUAUUUAAUGUUAUUUAGUCAUGGACUUGUUAUUAUAUUUAUUCUUUUUAAAAAGAUAAAUAAUGUUAAAUAAAAUAAAAUUACAUUUUAAAAAAUUAUCAACCAAAACACAUAAACUUAUAAAUAAAUAUAAAAAAUAAAUAAUAUUAACUAAAAUAAAAUUACAUUUUAAAAUAUUACUAAACUUAUAAAUAAAAUAUAAAUAAAUAAAAAAGAAAUUAAAUAAAAUUUAACAUCACAUAAAAUAAAAGUUGGUAACACUUUACGACUGUUAUAAGUAGAUGGACCCGUUAAUUGAAUGGUGUGUUCGUGGCAGAUUGUACGUUCAAUUUUCAUUUAUUUAAUCAGAAAAAGCACUAUUUUGAAUUGAGGAAUCGUAAUCUUGAUAGAUUGCGUUCUGACAGCCAAAUUACGAAGUUAAGAAGAAGACGACAGCUUGCUUUUCGCUUGUGAUUCAAUAAUUUGUUUUUGUCGGUGAUAAUAAUCCAGCAAAAGGUUGAUGUAUUAUUGGCCGAGAAGGAUGAAAUUGACAACUCACUGUCACCUUUUCUUUUUUGAAAUUAACCCAUUUUCACUUUAUUGCAAUCCAAAACAGUAUAUUGGUAGUCUACUGUUCUCACUUUAUUGCAAUCCAAAAUGGUAAGUCCGUAGAAGCCUCCAAAAUGUCCUUUGCUUCACUUAAAUUGUUUAUUUUUAUUUUUAUAAUUAAUAUAUAUAUAACUAUUAUUAAAUAAAAAGAUAUUUUAAAUUAUUAAAUUAAAAGAUAAAAUUAAAAAAAUAAAUAAAUUACUCACUUUAAUACAUUAUAUUUUACCAUAUAAUAUAUUAAAGUAUGUAUUUUUUUUAUUUUUAACUUAAUAACUUUAAAGAUCUCUCAUUAGAACAUUACAAUAAAUAUAUGUAUUUUUCUUUGUGUGUUAUGAAAUCUGCUGGGAUUUUUCUUACAGCUUAUGUAAGUUACAUUCAUUACAAAUUGAUACUUGUCUUUAUUAUAAAUUUUUCUUUUAUCCAAUAUGCGUUCAUUUCUUCAAUCAAACCUCAUAUUUGUUCAAUUUACGAUAAGAUCCUUGUAUGGGAGCAUAUCUGCAUAUGUAAUAAUUAUUCUUCUAUUUCAGACAGUUUUUGUGAAAAAAAAAAUAACUUUUAGCAAUUAUUUAUGUUUACGAAUUCUUACAGUCUUAUUUUAUUACUUUUCAUAGCUCUAUACAAAUGUUUACUAUAGAAUUUGUGUAUAUUUGGCUAUAAUAUAAUAUAUAAUGUAAACUUCUAUUCAUCUCUAAGUAAAAUGACAAUUUUUUGUUUACUCUUUAAAAAUAUGAAAUUAUUAAUUUACUCUCAUUUUUAUUUACAAGACAAUGGAAAAUAAGGUUGCAUUGAUUAAUUUUUUUAUUGAUUAAUUUUUUUAUUUACUUAGUAAUUAAUUAGAGUAAAUUAAUAUUUUCAUAAUGGGAGAUACAUUGCAGAUUCUCAUUCUUAGUAGCGGAUAAAUUAAAAUUUAUCUAAUUAUUUUAAAAUAUCAUUAAAAUUUUACAUUCUAAUCUAGAUUAGAUUUGCAGGGGGGCAACGUCCUUAUUCGAAUUAGACUCAGUUGGAAGAGGCACAUCUUCACCUCAACGAUUGUUCCACACGGCCCAACAUGAUACACUGUAAACUAGUCUAAAAAGAAUUCUUUGGGCGACUUUCUAGCAAUAGACACAGAGAAAGUGCUUAGUAGUAUGAAGUCUUCUUCUUUUAAAAUCAAAAUAAAAUGCACAGAGGACGAUAAUUUUGUUUCAUAAUUGAAAUUUUUACCAAGAAAGUUUGAAGAUGAGAGUGGCGAGAGAUGAGAGUGGCGAUGAUGGUGUGUGCUUUGGAUGGAAAAAUAGAUGAGAAAUAUAUAUAGACAUAUUAAAAGAAAAAUUUUAAUUUAUGUCUCAAGUGAAAUAAGAAAUUAUAAAUGUAGGUGUUAAAAUGUAUUCCGAAUUUAUAAAUUUUUAUAAACAUUAGACCCUUAUAAAAGUACAGCGAAAAGUUAAAUUUUUUUAAUAAAUGUCGAAACAAUGGACGAAGAAACCAUUCAUCAGCUCAGAAUUAACAAUCAAAGAUAUGACGACUUGGUUGAAGAAAUGGUGAAAAAUAAAAGGACAUUGGGUCUCGCUAAUAUUAAGGUUAGCGGGACCCUAAUAUUAAUGCUAAAAAAUAAAAGGACACUGGGUUGGUUUAGCGGGAAUCUAAUAUUAGAGUCAAUGGUAAAAUAUAAAAAUAAAAUUACAUGUGAUUAAUUUAUAUAUGUGUAGUUAAGUACUUAGCAAGCACUAGUUGGGGGUUUUUGUGUCCAUGGAAAUUAACAGUUGGUUGGUUGUUGGCAUUAUUCUGUGGGUCUGUAAGUGUAAUCAUGAUCUGACCAUUCAAAUUAAGAAAUGGGGCUCCCGCCGUAAUUAUCACACAUGCAGAUCUGGUCCAUGCGAGGAUCUUAUCAUAAAUUAAAAGGAUACGAGGACUUGAUUGAAGAAAUGAACAGAUAAUUGAACAAAAGACAAUUAUUAAUUUGUUAUGAAUGUAAUUGACAUAAGCUGUAAGUUAGCGGGACCCUUCACUUUAUUGCAAUCCAAAAUGGUCGGUCGGUAGACGCCUCCAAAAUGUCCUUUGCUUCACUUAUGCUGCGUUUAACGGGAAACAGAAAUUUUAAUAAUUAUUAUUAAAUAAAAGAUAUCUUAAAUUAUUAAAUUAAGAGAUAAAAUAAAAAGUAAAUAAAUUACUCACUUUAAUACAGUAUAUUUUAUUAUGUAAUAUGUUAAAAACACAUAUUUUUUUAUUUUUAAUUUAUUUUUAACUUAAUAACUUUAAAGAUCUCUUGUUAGAACAUUACAAUAUAUAUAUAUAUAUAUUUCUUUUUGUGUGUUAUAAAAUCUGUUGAGAUUUUAAAUAAAAUAUUUAUAAUAUAAUUUAGAGAUAUGUUGAACAUUAAUUAUAAAAUAUACCUAAAAUUUGUGUAGAAAAAUCUACUUUCAUUUAAAAAGAAUGAGAUUUAAAUUCAUUCUAAAGAAAAAUAUAUAAAAGAAAAGUGAAAAUCUUAUAUUUAAUUAAACAAUUUAAACUCAUCCUCUCAACAACAACCCGAAAGAUACCCCAAAUGCAAGCAGUUGGACACAAAACUUCUUAUUAAUUUUUUUUUUUAAAGUUUUAAAUCAAUUUUACCAAAUUACCCCUCAUGAUAGAUGAUAAGGCAUGUGUAUCACUUCACUUUCCACCUUUCAAUUCUCACUGAUAUAUCAUUUCAGACCUUUCUACCAAAGUUCAAUCAUUUUUCAUGCUCUUGAAGUCACCAGAUCUGUCAUCCGUGAACUAGCGGCUCUCAUUUCGGUACGUUACUUCUGAGAACAAGGAGUUAUACUGACAAGAAAAAUUCAUUUUCUUCAAUCUAUAGUAUUUUUAUGGAUGUGUGGUUCCUAUUUUAUCUACGUUUCAUUGAAAUUAAAAAUUUAAGGGGAAAUAAACGGUUAAUUGAACGGUGUGUUCACGGUAGAUUGUACGUUCAAUUUUCAUUUAUUUCAUUAAAAAAUCAUUAUUUUGAAGAGUCACCCUAUGUAACGUUAACAUAUACACAUUUACAGUAAUAAUAACAAGUCCGAUAUUUCGUUGAGAGUGUGUACUCAACGUAAUACAGCAGUGGCCUAUUUUGAGUUGAGGAAUCGUAAUCUUGAUAGAUUGCAUUCUGACAGUACGAAAUCAAGAAGAAGACAGAUUGCUUUUUAGUUGUGAUUCAAUAAUUGGUUUUUGACGGUGAUAAUAAUUCGGAUUCAGCAAAAGGUUGAUGUAUUAUUGGCCGACCAGGAUGAAAUUGACAACUCACUGUAACCUUUUCUUUUUUGAAAGUAACCCUAUUUUCACUUUAUUGCAAUCCAAAAUUUAGAAGCCUCCAAAAUGUCCUUUGCUUCACUUAAAUUGUUUAUAUAUAUAUAUAUAUAUAUAUAUAUAUAUAUAUAUAUAUAAAAUUAAAUAAAAGAAUAAUUUAAAGAUAAAAUAAAAAAUAAAUAAAUUAUUUAUUUUAAUAUAUUAUAUUUUAUUAUGUAGUACGUUAAAACGUAUUUUUUUUAUUUUUAAUUUAUUUUUAACUUAAUAACUUUAAAAAUCUCUCAUUAGAAUAUUACUAUAUAUCUAAUUUCAAUAUAAUCCACCAUAUAGCACGUUUACCUUAGUUCUUCUCUUCUGUUUUGCAGCUAAAGUCUACUUAAAGCUCGGUGCUUGCAUUAUUUUAUUCUUAUUGAUCAAAGUUGGCGCUAAUAAACAGAAAAAAGUAAUUAAACGUUCUCGUUCGAUCUUGUGAUCAAGCUUCCUUGUUUUGCUUAUAGCGUACUGAGAUCAACUUUGUUAAUUGCAGAUAAAUAGCAUGGAAAUUUUAUCAGGUAUUGCAUCAAAGCUUGGAGAGUUAUUGGUGGAUGCUACCGUAAAACAAGCUCGCUAUCUGUUCUGUUUCAACAGCAUUGUUAAAGAACUUGAGGAUAAAGAAACUAAUUUGAAGGAGGUGCAAGAUGGCAUCAACGAAAAAGUAGAAGAAGAACGACAAAAACAUUGCGCUAUAGUAGUUGAGAAAGAUGUAGAGAAGUGGCUGGCGGAUGUAGUCAAAGAAAUGGCCGAUGUCCGAACUUUGAAAGCAAAGCUAGAUGAAAAGAAGAGUUGUUUCAAUGGAUGGUGUCCUAAUUGGGGUUGCCAAUAUUGGAUGGGUAGAAAAGCAUCAAAGGAGACUCGCAAGCUGUCCGAUCUGCUACAAGACCGCAGCAAAUUCAGCACAGUUGCGCGUCCUAAACCUCUUCCAUCAGACAAAGAAUUGCCUAUACCAAGACAUUUUAUGCCUUUCGCGACUACAGAAUCGGCUUGCUAUCAGAUCAUUAAAGCACUGAAAGGAGACAACACGAAGAUAGUGGGAUUGUAUGGGAUUGGUGGUGUCGGAAAGACAACUUUGGCGAACUUUGUGGGCAAUCAACUUCGGGAAGAAAAUGUUUUCGAUGAGGUAGGGAUAGCCACUGUAUCUCAGGAUCAAAACAUAAUAAAUGUUCAAAGUGAGCUAGUAAAGUCGUUGGGUUGGGAAUUAACAGAGACAUAUGAAAAAGAUAGAGCACGCCGAUUGCGCAUGAUGUUCUCUGAGAGUAAGAGCCGCAAGAUGCUCAUAAUUCUUGAUGAUGUCUGGAAUGAACUGGACUUGGAAAAAGUAGGUAUUCCCGUUGGUGACAGAGACAAUUGUUGCAAAAUCCUUCUAACCACUCGCCUGCAGCCAGUUUGUGAUCGCAUGGGUUGUGACACGCAGAUCCAACUAGGUGUUCUAAAGCAAGAUGAAGGAUUGGAUUUACUAAGAAAGCAUGCUGGCAUUGAUGUUGCUGAUACAACCUUGAUUGAUGUUUCAAAACAAGUUGCUGAUGAAUGUAAGGGGCUGCCUUUAGCUAUUAAAGCUGUUGGAAGUGCACUAAGAGGAAGAACCGCUGAUGAAUGGAAUGUAGCACUAGAUAAACUACAAAAUGCAAAACUCGAUAAGAUAGAAGGUAUUGAUAAGGAUUCCCAGGGCGUUUACGGUUGUCUCAAGUUUAGUUUUGAUUAUUUGAAUGGUGAGGAUUCCAGGUCAUGCUUCUUGUUGUGUUCGCUGUUUCCAGAAGAUUAUAAGAUAGAUUUGGAGGAUUUGCUUGGAUAUGCAGUGGGGUUGGUUUGGUAUCAAGCUGAGUCAAUCGAAAAAGCCAGAAGCCUACUGCGUGGAACAAUCAAAGGACUCAAAGAUUCUUCAUUGCUGUUAGACAUUGAUGAUGACAGAUUUGUGAAAAUGCAUGACGUAGUUCGCGACGUAGCCUUAUGGAUAGGCAAAGUGGAGAAGAAAUAUUUUACUAGUAAAGUUGGCAUUGGAUUGGAGGAACUGGCAGUGGAAGAAGACCUAGAACAAUGCAGAGGAAUCUCUUUGGUGGGAAAUGAAAAAGAAGAGCUUCCUAGUGGUUUGGUAUGCCCUAACCUUCAUAUUUUGCGAUUGGAGAAUACUGAAUAUGACAACAAAUUGCAAGUUCCAGAACAUUUUUUCAAAGAGAUGCCAACAUUGAAAGUUGUCACUGUAAUAGGUGGAGUUCUUUCACUUAAAUCACUUCAGAUCCUCGCCAAUAACCUUCGAGUUCUGCAGUUAAUUCGAUGUGAGGUGACUGACGCGUCUUUCCUUGGAAAGUUGAAGAGACUUCAAAUACUUUAUCUCGAGAAGUCUCCCAUUGAAAUUCCAGAUGGAUUGGGGGAUGAACUUAGUAGAUUGAAACUUCUGUAUAUUGAUACUGGCUCCAUUUCUCCUAUUACGAUAAAUAAAUUUCCUCAAAUAGAAGAAUUUUAUGGUGUAAUAAAAGAUUGGGAGGUUGAAGGGAUGAGUUCAGAAGAAAGUUACGGUAGGUGUGCUGAGUCGGACUCCCAACCCGACGGAUCCGUUGUAUGUCUUCCAAAGGACUUUUCAUUUCCGAAAUUACAAAGGUAUCGCAUCAGUGAAGUUGACAAGUUUAGUAUUGCAAAUGAUCUAGGGACAAGGUGCUUAAUCAUUGAGAAUAACCAUCCUAAAGCGACGCUAGGAAUUUUUUCAGCACUGUAUCAAAAUCUGGAAAUUCUUUAUUUAAGUGGGGUAACAGGUUGUCAUAAUAUUGUGCCAAGCAUAGAUGAACGGGGCUUAAAUGAGUUGACUAUUCUUCAUGUCACCGAUUGUAAAGAUUUAGAAUGCAUAAUGGAUGCCUCUAAGUCGCCGCAUGGAAAGAGUGGGAAUCCUGUGAUGCUCUCAAGAUUAGCAGAGUUAUCUAUGUGGGAAUUACCAGAACUGAAGUGGAUAUGGAAGGCGCCCGCCCAACAUGUGAUCAGCCUCCAAUCUCUUACAGAAUUGACUGUGUCAGAUUGCAACAAUUUGACAUAUAUCUUCACGUUGUCACAAGCUCGAAGUUUGGUGCAGCUUAAAAGUCUGGAAGUGAGUGACUGCGAGAGACUGGAAUGUAUUGUCGAAGCAAAAUUUGAUCAUAAUGAAAGGGAAAUAAGUGUAGGAGAUGGAAAUACAAUACUUGCGCUCCCUUCGUUGAGAAAAUUAAGAUUUAAAGAUCUCCCCGAACUCAUCAGCUUCUGUUCAGAAAAUUAUUAUUCAACUUGGCCGGCAUUGGAAGAGUUAGACCUUGCGAGCUGUCCUAAAUUGACCGUCAACAGUACUGAAAUUGAAGCCAAUUUGCAGUAUCUUGGAGAGGUACGUUCAUUUGUGUUUAUGUUUUUUUUUUCCUUUAAUUUUAUUCAAAAUGAUAGUUUAUCGAUAACUUUUGUAAUCAGUCAUUUAUAUCACCUUGCAUUUGGCCUGUUGAGAUGAAGGUGAUGGUGGUGGUAGUGGUGGUGGUGGUGGUAGUGGUGAUGAUAGUAAUAAUGAUUCAGUAUCUUGAGCAAAUUUCUUUGUUUUAGGGCCUAAAAUUCAUUCUUCAAAUAAAAGUCAUAUCUCGUUUUGGUUUAUGAAAAAAUGGAUGCAANNNNNNNNNNNNNNNNNNNNNNNNNNNNNNNNNNNNNNNNNNNNNNNNNNNNNNNNNNNNNNNNNNNNNNNNNNNNNNNNNNNNNNNNNNNNNNNNNNNNNNNNNNNNNNNNNNNNNNNNNNNNNNNNNNNNNNNNNNNNNNNNNNNNNNNNNNNNNNNNNNNNNNNNNNNNNNNNNNNNNNNNNNNNNNNNNNNNNNNNNNNNNNNNNNNNNNNNNNNNNNNNNNNNNNNNNNNNNNNNNNNNNNNNNNNNNNNNNNNNNNNNNNNNNNNNNNNNNNNNNNNNNNNNNNNNNNNNNNNNNNNNNNNNNNNNNNNNNNNNNNNNNNNNNNNNNNNNNNNNNNNNNNNNNNNNNNNNNNNNNNNNNNNNNNNNNNNNNNNNNNNNNNNNNNUGAAGUCGUGGCAAUUGAAACAUCUUCCAGAACUGCGAGUAUUAUUAUAUCAUGAAGGUCCCACGCAUAAUUUUAGCCUCCAAAAUCUUACCCAUUUAAGAGUGGACGGGUGCACUAUGCUGAGGCGUCUCUUCUCAUCAACACUUGCUCGAAAUCUGUCGCAAUUGAAGUUGUUAGGUAUUGUUAACUGCUUGGAAUUAGAGCAAAUCAUUGAUGAGGAUGAGGAUGAGGAUCAUCUCCAACCUGUAUGUUUCCCAAAACUCACAAUGAUCACUGUCAGUUAUUGCCCCAAACUAAAGCGUCUAUUUCAUAUCAGCGUAGCUCCAAGUCUUCAAAAACUGGAGUCCCUAUUCAUAACAGCUAAUGAUGAAUUAGAAGAAGUAUUCUGGCAUAAAGAUGGAGCAAACGUCACGGAUUACAAUGAAAUUGUUAUGAAUAAACUUCAGGUGUUGGAAGUGACAGAUUUACCAAACCUCACCAACUUUUGGCCUGCGGGUUAUCAGAUCUCAAUUCCAUCUUAUAAGGUUUUUGUUCAUAAUUGUCCCAUGCUUCCUGAAAAUUCAGGAGAUAUAUUAUUCCAAGAAUUCUGGAGAACUUUAGUUAAUUGAUUCUAUACAUAGUAUUAUUACUAUUGUGCAUUCUAUGAAGCAUUUUAUGUUUGAUAGCGUAAUUUAAUAUCAUGUUAUAAUUAUAUUGGUAUGGAUCAAUGCUUACACUAUUAACUAAGGAUUAUUUUGCAACAAUACUAAUUAAUUCCCUAUAUAUAACGAGUCAUAUUCAUGUCUGGAUGCUUGGAUUUAAUAAAUUCAAAUUAUUAGAAUCAAAGUUAUACAGCACCUGAUUCUAAUUCUUGAUUUUGUAAAAUCAUGACGUCCGAACCUACGCACCCUUUUGCUUGUAAUAAAAAAAUAUUGUAUUUUAUGAAUAACAAUACUAUUGUACAACGUCACGUGACAGUAUUGCGUAUUAGCUUUCGUCUACUUGUAUCAUGAAGGUUGCCGAUGUACAGUGAAGCUAAGUUGGCAUUCUUCAUAUAUCUUUGGUAUCCCCAAACAAAAGUGCAUAAAUCGGCAUUAAUUCAUCAUCUUUUUCAGUACUCUGUAAAAUUUCUGAUUCAAAUUAUUUUAAAAGUUUCAACUUUUAAUAUUUUCAGGGGACGGCUUAUGUUAUAUAAUGUUUUAUUUCGGCCUUAUGCUGCAAAACAUGAGAAAGAAAUUGAUCUUAAUUUGUUGAAGCUGAGAAUUAAGGCCAGGGAAAUAGGUCUUCUGUUUUGGAAGAAGGCUGCCAUUUAUGGGCAAACAAGGUUUUUUGAGAUUUUGCAGUACGCCUCUUCUCACUCAACUUCACUGCCUAAAUCUGAUCAGGUAAUUUAACAACAUUUUGUAAGAUAUUUUGCUGCCAAUUUCCUCAUUAAGAGACAAAAAAUGUUUUGUUUUAGGAUUUAUGAAAAACGACAGAGAAGUAAGUGGAAAAAAAAUAAAAGAAAUUAUAGUGAAUUUUCUUUUUAUAUUACAAUAGGAAGCAAGUUAAACUACAGCAGCGGUAAGAAGCUACGGAAGAAGCAGGGCAUUUGCCAACAAAAUAUGAGGCUGCUGCUAAAAUGGAAACAGUGCCAGUAUCAUCAUCUUUCCAAGAUGGCAAUUUAAUUAAUUCCUUCAAUCAAAAAGGGGUUUCCACGGAUCAAGCUAUCCCGCAAUCAAGAAGCAAAUGGCCGUUGUUCAGGACUGCAGCAGCAAGCCAAUAAUAAAGCCCUUGUAUUUGUCUUCUGCCAUUAUGAAGAUGAUUUAUAUACGUAGAUGAUGCAAAUUGAACACCAAUUAAUAGUUAAUUAGUCUCCAUUGUUUUCUUGCUACCAAUUUUGUAUCAUAUAAAUCUCAUGGGACUAUUGAUUAACAAUAUAUAUAGUGAGUAGUAGUGGUUGGGUACUUUCAGUUAGAAGAAAAUUGUAACAUGCAAUAGUCAAUACUUAAUAACACAUUUAUGGUGUGUUUACUUGUGGGUUUGGGGAAUAAGAAUGAAGAAAUGAGAAUCAAACCUAUGUUUACUUGUCAAAAUGUAAUUUGGGAAUGGGAAUAAAAUGUGUAAGUCACACACAAUUUGGAAAUAAGGAAUGAGAAUCUUAUUCCUAUGGGGGGUUGGGAAUGAGAAUUAAACAUAAAUUUACCUUUCUAUCCUUCUAAUUUUUUCAUAUUUCCUAAAUUACCCUUAUUCAAAUCACAAAUAAUUUUAUUAUUUUAAAUGUAAUUAAUAAUAAUAAUUAUUAUUAUUAAAUUUUAUUAACUUUAUUAUUUUAGUUAUUAUUAAUUAUUUUUAUUUUUAUUAAUAUUAUCAUUAUUAACAAUAAAAUAAUGAUAAAAAUAAUAAUUAAUAAAAUAAUUAAUUUAUCAUUAUUGUUGUUGUUAUUAUUAUUAUAUUAUUAAUAAAAUUAAUAAUAACUACAAUAAUAAAGUUAAUAAAAUUUAAUAAUAAUAAUGUAAUUUUCAUUAUCUACAUACAUGUAUAAAUAUUAUUAUAAAAAUUAUAUUAAUUAAAAAAUAAGAAUAAUAAUAAAUGUUAAUAAUGAUAAUAUUAAUAAAAAUAAUAACAAUAAUUAAUAAUAACUAAAAUAAUAAAGUUAAUAAAAUUUAAUAACAAUAAUAAUAAAUGUUAAUAAUAAUACUAAUAAUAAUAAUAACAACAACAACAACAAUAAUAAUGAUAAUAUUGUUAAGAGUAAUGAUACAGCCACAAACUCUUGUACAAACUUAUCUUAUACAAACUGAUGUGGCAUUAAUUCAUUAGUUGAAUGAAAAUAUAAAACAAUAUAAACAAAUCAUGUGGGCCAAGAGAUAUUUAAUUCAACCAAUAAAUUAACGCCACAUCAGUUUGUACAAAAUAAGUUUGUACAAGAGUUUGUGGCUAUAUUAUUACUCUAUUGUUAAUAAUGAUAAGUUAAUUAUUUUUAUUAAUUAUUAAUACUAUGGGUAUUUUGGUAAAUUGAUUCUCAUUCCCAAUUCUCAUUCCCAUUUAUUUUGCCAGGUAAACAUAUCAAUGGCAUUCCAGCACAUUCCCAUUCCCAUUUAUUUUUGCCACAUUGAAAUCACAUUCUCAUUUCACACCAUUCCCAUUCCUAACUCAUUCACAUUCCACCUCAUUCUCAUUCUCAUGAAGUAAACGCAUCAUUAAAUUGCAGCAUGUACUAGCCUACUUAAAUUGUCUAUUCAUUUUUGUUCACGUUCGGAGAAUUAACUAAUCAACAAAUUAAUAUGUGACACGUUUUGUAAUUACAUGCCGAUAAUUUUUUAUAAGGUAAUUUAAUGCGCAAUGCAGCCAUUUUAGACACGAGGUUUGGAUGUAUUUCUCAUUGUUAUUAAAUAUGAGUUAGGAUCUCACUUUAUAUUGUUAUCUACUAAACUACUAAUCACUCAUGUUAAGAAGUAGCUCAAAUCAAAAGAACAUCAUAAUCUGUUAAAUAAAUGACGAGUUAUCUUAAAGUACAAUCUAAUUGAUUUUACCAUUUAUAGUGGAAGCAACAAGUCAAGUGCUCAAUUUUUAAAGGAUUAAAUUAUUUACACUAUAAAAUUAUUCUGAACAUUUAUUAUUUCAUGCAAUUAUUUACUUAAUUUAAAAAUUAAGAUUUUUUUUAAAAAUUUGAAUAGGUCUGAAUUAAAUGAAAGUCUGAAUAGCUCUAAGUUUUACUUUGUACAUUUUUUAAAAGACUUUAAAAAAAUCCUUACUAAUUAAAUCAUUUUAGCUAAUUUGUAAAUAAAUUCUUUUUAACACAAUUUGAAUUUCUUGAAAUCGUGUCUUUUCUGCCUUCUGAUUUUAUUGUGUUAAACAAAUCGAAUGGCUUUUGCCACGUAUGUUUCUCCCGUGCAUUUGGUUUAUUUCCCUUUCGAGUGAUGCAUCCUGCAACUCUUCAGCAAGAGAGUUUACUCGUCUUGCUUUCUUUCCCUUGAAUCAAGAGACUUUUUGAAAUAAAUUAUUUUAUUUAAAUAAAAGUAUUCGAAGUAAUUUUUAAAAUAUAAAUACCCAUUUUAUUUAUAAAAAAAACUAUAUUAAGGCAUGGGAAGGCCGUAUCUAAUCGGCUUGGAAAAUUGUCACAUGCAAUAGUCAAUAACACGUUUAAAUUGGAGCAUGUACUAGCUUACUUAAGUUGUCUACUCAUUUUUAUCCACGGGUAGAGAAUUAACUGAUCAACAAAUUAAUCUGCGACACGUUUUGUAAUUGUAUGCCGAUCAUUUUUUAUAAAGUAAUUUAAUGCACGAUGCAACCAUUUUAGGCACGAGGUUUGGAUGUACUUCUCCUUGUUAUUAAAUAUGAAUUAGGAUCUCACUUUAUAUUGUUAUCUACUAAACUAUUAAUCAAUAUGUAGCAGCUCAAAUCUAAAGAAAAUCAUAAUCUAUUAAAUAAAUCAUGAGUUAUUUUAAAGUACAAUCUAAUUGAUUUUGCCAUCUAUAGUGGAAGCAACAAGUCAAGUGCUCAAUUUUUAAAGGAUUAAAUUAUUUACAUUGUAAAAAUUAUUCUAAACAUUUAUUAUUUCAUACAAGAUAGAACCAUUCACUUAAUUUUAAAAAUUAAGGUUAUAUUUUUUUUUAUAAUUUGAAUAAUUUGAAUAGAUCUAAAUUAAAUGAAAGUCUGAAUAGCUCUAAAUGUAUAUCAUUGAGGACAUGUUUGUUUUUUUAUGACUAAAUAUAAGUGUUAAAUUAUUUGUCUUAUAAGCCAAAAAAAAACUGAAUUAUGAUAUUUUGGCAUUUAUGUCCCUAUAAGUAUUAAUAUAUAUUUGAUAAGUUAGAGAUGGUAAGUAAAUUAAAAUCAUUUUAUUAUUAAUUAUAACAUAUCUAUUUUUUUCAAUAUAUACAAUGUUACAGCUAAAAAAGGUACAAUGUUAAUUACAUUAUUUGUGUGUAUUAUAUGAUUUUUUUUCGUUCAAUCACACAAUUUAACAUAGAAUCAAUUAACAAUUUCAAGUAAAAUAGAAUUUUACAUAUAUUAUUAAUUGUAAAAGUUAAAAUAAUUAAGGAAUAAAAACAACAGCUACAUCCCAACAUAUUAAUUUUUGUUAAAAGUUUUGUUCAAAAUAGUUGUUAUAAAAAAAAAAAAAGAGCCCGAGAUGAGUACAAAGUCCAAAAAUAUAGAUUUUACAAAAUAAGUUGAUUCAAUCCUGUAAAAUCUCCACGAAAUAACGACAAUUGGAAAGAGUAAAAUAAAAAUUAGUUAUGUUUGAUUGGAAAUAAGCCUAUUAAAUAGGGGUAUUUUUGAGAGAUUGUAGUGAUUUUCGUUCAAACUUUUUUCAAUUCAGAUAAAAAUUAAGUUAUUUAACUUUUUAUAUUAAGUGCUAUAUUCUGAAAUUUAGAUAAAAUAUGAAAAACAAACUAGUAAACUUAAAAAAUGUUUGACUUCACACAUUUAACAGACAAGCUUUAAGUUUUACUUUGUAGACUUUUUAAAAGACAAAAAAGAAAUCCUUACUAAUUAAAUCAUUUUAGCUAAUUUGUAAAUAAUUUUUUGACACUAUGCGAAUUUGUUGAAAUUGUGUCUUUUCUACCAUAUGAUUUUAUUGUGUUAAACAAAUCAAAUGGCUCCUGCUGCGGAUUUUUUCCAGUGCAUUUUGUUUAUUUCCCUUUCAACUGUUGCAUCCUGCAACUCUUCAGCAGGAGAGUUUAUUUGUCUUGCUUUUUUUCCCUUGAAUCAAGAGACUUUUUGAAAUAAAUUAUUUUAUUUAAAUAAAAGUAUUCGAAGUAGUUUUUAAAAUAUAAAUACCCAAUUUAUUUAAUAAAAAAAAACUAUAUUAAGGCGUGCGAAGGCGUAUCCAAUCGGCUUGACGCUCAACCCUCCUAACCACAAAAAAUGCAGGUAUAAAAAAAAUUCAAUAGAGCACAUGUUAAAAAGAUGCUAUUUUUUAUUUUUUUUAUUUUUUGGGUAUAAUGGGGUUCGUAACAAGAGAUAAGGAUGGACAAAGUGGGGAUAGACAACCCCAUACAUUUCAUGCGUGAAAAAAGGGAGCAAAUUAGUAGGGGAUCAUUGAAAUGGUGACAUCCCAAUGGUAGAAAGUAGAGACAGAGCAUAAUUAGCUAAGAAAUCUGUGGUAUACACAUGAUUGACGGUGAUGUUAUAGUGUCGAUUCAUUAACAUAAGCUCAGGAACAAUUAAAGAUGUUAUUUUUUAACAUAAGCUCUGGAAUAAAAAUUAAAAAAAAAAAAACCACAUUUAAGAUUUAAAACACAAGUUGUCUUAAAUUAAUUCGAUUACAUGUGGCUAUUUGAAAUUAUUAAAAAUAAAUUCUAUUUUUCCCGCUUUCCCUAUCACUUUGCCAACGUGUUAUUUUCACAUUGGUGGAUCUAAUCUAAGUAGUGGCCUGAUUUGCAGCCUCGAAUUGAGCAUAUACAUUUUACUGAAUUCGACAAAAUCAAAAAUCGGGUGCUUACCAGGCAAUACAGACCAGCCACAAACUUUUAUUAGAUGAUUGCCACGUAGCGAAGAAUCAACGGUCAAUACCAGCUGGGAACUGACUAAGCCUGCGCUAUAAAGUCCACGCGGCAUGCAGAUACGGGCCGACCAAAAUGGACAGCAGACUCAAUCACCCCGGCCUCUGCUGGUCUCAUCUCUUCUCGUCGAACCAACCUCUUUUCUAGGAGGCUCUCAAACCGUCCCACGUGUCCUGACCACACAUAGAUUUGUGUGGUCACCAACCUCUGCCUUUAUCUCUCUCUAUUUCUAAGGACGUGUUUGGUCUCAUCUUCAAGGUGCAUUUCACAAUGAAACGAUGAAAAUAAAAUAUGUUAAUGGAUCAAUAACAUAUUAUGCUUAUUUAAUUUAAAUAUUUAAUUGAGAUAUUUACUGGUGGAUCACAUAUUAUUUAAGGAUAUUAAUUGAUUUUAUUAUUAAUUAUUAGUCUAUCACCACCUUAUAGAUCACACAUAAAAUCUUACAUCAGUUAAUAUCUUAAUUAAAUAUAUAAAGUGAAUAAAUAUAGUAAUUAAUCUAUCAUAAUUCUAUUCUACGAUUUAAUAAAAAUAUUCUCAUACAAAUCAUUUCAGCUGCUGUUAAAAUUAAAAAAAUUUGUCAAAACUUUUGGAAAUUAUAUUUUGCCAAUGUCAAGCUAAAUUACAUUAUAUUGAGAAGGAUAAAAGUUUUAGGCAAGUGAGAAUUGUUCUUUAUGACUUAUGCAAGUCAACAUUUAUCCGUUUAUACAUUGAUUUUGUUUGAAUAUAAACUCAAUUAAACGAUUAGGACAGGUUCAAUGCACUAGUUUCUCGUGCUUAAGACAUGUUCAAUAAAUAUAAAAGUAAAAUCAAUAUUUGGGGUUCAUUUUAAAUUUAUUUUUAUAUGGGUGAUGUAUCUUUUCACAAACGUGUAUAAGUAAAUAUAUUUAGAAUUUGGGGUAAAGAUCUUAUAUUUUUUUAUAUUGUAUAACACGUAUAAAGAUAUUACGUGUGAAUAUAAUACAUAUUAUAAUGUGCAUAUCAUAAAUUAAAAGAAAUAGUGAUGUUAUGUUUAUUUAAUAACAUAACAAUUCUAUGACUAAGUAAAAUUUCCUUACAUUUUCUUGGUAGCAUUUUGGUUCGAAUCAAAUCUAUCCGAAUCCGAUUUUUGAUGCCCAACCCUACAUGCAUGCCUUUAUUUUCAUAGGAAAAGUCAUAGCCACCUUGCAACAGCUCUUUCAAAUUUAAUGGUUUUGGUGCCAACUUUGGUGCUAAAGUCAAAAGUAAUAUAUUAUUAAUAAAGUGUUGGCUCUACUGGCAAUGUAGUCCCUUUAAGUGACUUGAUUGAGUUUGCUCCACAGUUCGAGUCGCAGGAAAAUCGCCUUUGUUGGGAGAACCUGUGCCUCUCGGUUCGAGGGGGACUUCUAAUCUGAAUUGUGGUACGGGCUUAAAAGUGCCUCCCACAGUUGGGACCCUCCCCAGAAUACCUCGUGGUCAAAACCAAAAAAAAAAAAGUCAAAAGUAAUAUAUUAAUUAAAUACCCAUUUUUUUUCAUAACAACCAAUUAGAGAAUUAUCAUAUUUGAAAAUAUAAUUUUACUUUAUAAAACCCAUCAAAAUGCCAAAACUAUUCUUAAUGUUUUUUCUUCUCUCAUCUUUUUCCUUCACUCUCUCUCUCUCUCUCUCUUUUUUAAUACAUAGAAAACUCUUAACAUCAAAAGAAAAAAAAAAUCUCUUGUACUAUUAUUAUACUCUUAUAUUAACUUGUUACAAUUCUUUCGUUAUUUACGCACAAGAAAAAUUCACUUCUUCAAUCUAUAGUCCUUUUACAUACGUGUAGUUUUUAUUAGAUCUAUACUUUAUAGAGAUUAAAAAUAAGGGGAAAUAAAUUAUUAAUUAGAUGGCGUGUUUGUGACAGAUUGCAGGUUUAAUUUUCGUUUAUUUCAUCAAAAAGAGCAUCAUUUUGAAUUGAGAAAUCAUGAUCUAGUUUGCUUUUUGACAGCCGAAUUAUGAAAUGAAGAAGAAGGUAGAUUGCUUUUUUGCUUGUGGUGGCAAUAAUUUAUUUUUGACGGUGAUAAUAAUCCAGCAAAAAGUCGAUGUAGUCGCAGACAAGAUGAAGUAGACACUUUUUCUCUUUGAAAGUAACCCAUUUUCACUUUUUUUUUUCCCGCAAUCCAAAAUAGUAGAUUGGAAAUCUAUUAUUUUCACUUUAUUGCAAUCCAAAAUGGUAGACGGAUAAUCUUUUGAAUAAUAGAUUGGUAGUCUAUUAUUUUCACUUCCACCUCCGGCAUAUUUCUAGAUGUUGUAACCAUGUGGUUGAUGUAUUGGCGAAAUUUACUCUUCAAGAUUCUAAAUUCUUAGUAUAUUUGGAGGAUUAUCCCAAUUUUUUAGAAUGUUAUCUUUAAGUUGAUUUCUGAAAUAAAAUACUCACUUUUAUUAAAAAAAAAAUGGUAGACAAGUAGUCCAGCAAAAGCCUUAAAAUGUCCUUUGCUUUACUCAAAAUUAUUAUUUUUUUAAAUUAUAUAUUUAAUCAUUAUUAAAUAAAAGACUUUUUAAGUUAUUAAGUUAAGAGAUAAAUUAAAAGAUAAGUAAAACACAAACUCUAAUGCACAUUUUAUCACGUAGUAUAUUAAAGCACGUAUUUUCUUAUCUUUUGACUUAAUCUUUAGGUUACUAACUUAAUACACACACAUAUAUGGAAUAUAUUGAGAUUUCAUAUAUAAAUAUUUAUAAUACAAUCCAGAGAUAUAUUAAACAUUAAUUUUAAAAUAUACUUCAAAUACAUUGAGAGAAAUCUACCUUUAUUUAAAGAGAAUAAAGGGCCUUUUUUUGACUUAAUAACUCAAUUGACUCAAUUUUAAUUAGUUAAGUUAUUAAGUUUAUUUACUUUUUAACUUAAUAAAAAAUUUUAGCCAUUAAGUCAUUAAGUUAUUUUUUUAGCUUUUUACUUAUUCUAAGAGGUCUGAAUAAUAUUACUAACGAUAUUUUCCAAAGUGUCAUAUCUAAUUAAUUAAUUUUCAUUCUUACCUAAAUAAAAUUUUAUAAUUAGCAUUAUUACCCAUCUUUAUAUAACUUGUGAUAAUAUAUAGUGGUAAACUAUUAUUAUUUUUAUCUUUUUUAUUUUCUUCAAAUUAGCAUUAUUUAUUUUUAUAAAUUUUUAUAAAUAUUUUUCAUGUAAAAACAUCAUAAACUAUAAUAAAAUUGAUUAACAUAUAUAAUAUAGAAUAUUAAAGAGUUGUAUUGAAUUGAAUAUGAUUUACGUUUUGGUAAUAUAUUAUCUUAUUUAUAUUUUUUGAGAUGUUUAUUAUUUAUUUAACAUUUAUAAUUUGUAAGGGUAUAAAUGUAAAAAUCUUAGUUUUCAAAUCUUUUGAAGUUAAAAAAAAACUUAAUAUUUAUUUUUAGCAGUUUAGACAAAAAAAAAAGUAUAUCAUUUAGAUUUGGAUAUUCAACUCUAUUUAGAAUUUAAAUUAAAUCAAGUUAUUCAAAUUUUAGAUUAAAAAAAUAAACACCACCAGAGCCUAAGAGUAAGAUUCAAAUUCAUUCCAAAGAGAAAUUUAUAAUAAGAGGAAGAAUAUUGUAGAUAUAAGCUCAUUCUGUUAACACUUAACAACCCAAAAGAUACCCCAAAUACAAACAGCAAGUACAAGCUUCUUUGAAAUCUUUUGAAUUUCUUUGAAUUUUUUUUAUUUUAAAUGAGUUUUACCAAAUUACACUCAACCAGUCAGAAAAUACCAAAUGAGAACACAAACGGGUAGGGAAGGUAUUUGAUAAUAUGGAAAUACAAUGUAAGUGAGAAGACAUUAAACCUCAGGGAAAGUAUCUAAAAAUUACCUCAUUUCACUUUCCACUUUUCAAUUCACACUUAUAUAGAAUUAAAAAAAAAAGGAAAAGCAAAGAAAAGAAAAGUUAAGCGACGAAGUCGAUAUCAAUUUGUGAAGCAUGACUCGGACCUUGCUACCAAAGCUCAUUCAUUUUUCAUGCUCUCGGAAGUUACCAGAUCUGUGAGUUGCUCUCCUUUCGGUAUGUGACUUUUGCUUCCUAUAUCACUUGCAGUUCAACUUUUUUUUUUCUUUUUUCCUUUCUGAGAACUAAAGAUUUGAUAGAGAGCAAGAAUUUAUAUGAGAUGUUAAUUAGCUAAAUCCGAUGUUGUUUUCAUCUGAUGUUUAUUUAUAUUGCUAGAUGCAGCUUUUAAUUUUCUCCAAACUUGUGUGACUCCCUAACUGGAGCUUUCUGCAGUAAUUGAGGUAAACGAAGAAGGUAUGAGACAUCGUUUCAUAGGCUCUUAAUUUGAUGUUUGUUUCAAUUCCAAUAUAUUAUGUUAAUUGGCUAGAUCCGAUAUAUAUAUAUAUAUAUAUAUAUAUAUAUAUAUAUAUAUAUAUAUAUAUAAUCAGUAUUAAAUAAAAGAUAUCUUAAAUUAUUAAAUUAAGAGGUAAAAUAAAAAAUAAAUAAAUUAUUCACUUCAAUAUAUUAUAUUUUACUAUGUAAUAUGUUAAAACACAUAUUUUUCUUAAUUUUAAUUUAUUUUUAACUUAAUAACUUUAAAGAUCUCUUGUUAGAACAUUACAAUAUAUAUAUAUGUAUUUCUUUUUGUGUGUUAUGAAAUCUGUUGAGAUUUUAAUAAAAAUGUUUAUAAUAUAAUUAAGAGAUUUGUUGAACAUUAAUUAUAAAAUAUACCUAAAAUUUGUGUAGAGAAAUCUACUUUCAUUUAAAAAGAAUGAGUUUAAUAAGAAUGAGAUUUAAAUUCAUUCUAAAGAAAAUUAUAUAAAAGAAAAGUGAAAAUCUUAUAUUUAAUUAAACUCAUCCUCUCAACAACCCGAAAGAUACCCAAAUGCAAGCAGUUUGGACACAAAACUUGUUAUUUUUUUUUUAAAUUUUAAAUCAGUUUUACCAAAUUACCCCUUAUGACAUGAUAGAUGAUAAGGCUUAUUAAUUUUUUUUAAAUUUUAAAUCAGUUUUACCAAAUUACCCCUCAUGAUAGAUGAUAAGGCAUGUGUAUCAUUUUCACUUUCCACCUUUCAAUUCUCACUGAUAUAUCAUUUCAGACCUUUAUACCAAAGUUCAAUCAUUUUUCAUGCUCUUGAAGUCACCAGAUCUGUCAUCCGUGAACUAGCGACUCUCAUUUCGGUACGUUACUUCUGAGAACAAGGAGUUAUAUAUGAUGUUAAUUAGCUAGAUAUAUGCGAUGUUGUUUUGAUCUGAUGUUUAUUUAUAUUGCUGGAUGCAGCUUUUAAUUUUCUCCGAACUUGUAUGACUCUCUAACCGGAGCUUCCAGGAGUAAUUGAGGAUAUAUAAGGAAGAAGGUAUGCUAUAUUAUUGUUUCACAGGCUCUUAACUUGAUGUUUGUUUUAUGCCAAUUUUGCACGUUGGAUUAAAAAUAUACAGAUAAAAUGGUCGAUAAUUUUUAAGUUCUAAAUAUUUUAUGGUGCGUUUAUUUUAUGGGAAUAGAAAUAGGCUCACGGAAAUGAAAAUAGGCUAAUGGAAAUAGGCUGAAAUGAGAAUGAGAUAAUGAGAAUAAUAUUUUAAUAUUUAUUUAGCAAAAAUAAAUUAGAAUGGGAAUGUGCUGGAAUGCCAUUAAUGUGUUUACUUGGCAAAAUAAAUGAAAAUAAGGAAUGAAAAUAAGAAUUAAUUUAUUAAAAUAUUUAUAGUAUUAAUAAUUAAUAAAAAUAAUUAAUUUAUCAUUAUUAACAAUAUUAUUAUUAUUUUUAUUAUUAAUAAAAAUAAUAUUAAUAAUAACUAAAAUAAUAAAAUAAAUAAAAUUUAAUAAUAAUAAUAUUAUUUAUUAUUAUCAAUAUUAUUAUUAUUAAAUUUUAUUAAUAUUAUUAUUUUAAUUAUUGUUAUUAUUAUUAUUAUUAACAUUUAUUAUUAUUAAAUUUUAUUUAUUUUAUUAUUAAUUAUUGUUAAUAGUAUUUUUAUUAAUUCUUAAGUCAAAGAUGGUUGGUUAGAGUCAAUCACCUCCAAGUCAGUAUUGUUGACCAUACUUUAAAAAUAAAAUUAAUUUUUCCUUGAAAUUUUUUCAUGAGUGCACGUGCAUAGGAUGUUGAAGCCGUCUAAUCUCUAAGGUCCCGUUUGGGAUUACUUUUGGGAGGGUUAAAAAUGAUUUUAAAAAUUUAAAGUUAAUUUUGGUGUUUGGUAAAAAAAAAUCAAAACCACUUUUGCCAUAAUCAGCUCCUCCUAUAGCUAAUUUUGAAAAACAGGGAAGGAGUAACUUUUAGAUUCUGAUUUUGAGAAUCAAUUUUAUCAUUUAAUAUAAUUCCAUAAAUAUCCUUAUAAUUAUUACUUAAACCCGAAAUUAUCCUUAUUUAAAUUGGAAACAAAAUCAAUAUUUUAAUAAUUUUUUAUUAUAAUUAACGCACACCUUUCGUUUACCAUAUUUCUUCAUAGUUUGUAUAACUAAAUAUACAAGGCACAAAGUUAUAAAAAAUGCUAUGUUUAUGCUGCUUGGCAAGAAGUUAAUAUGCCAAUUCCACAUUUUUAUAAAAAAAAAAAUUUAUUUGAUUCAACGAGAUAUUGUACGUGUACAUUUUUAUAUGUAUAAGUAAAUUUCAUCUUACAUUAUGUACAUUUUAGUCAUUUAUUUUUUUACAGCAGUUUAACAAUAAAAUUUACCAAACAUCCAUAACUGCUUUCAAAAUUUACAGUACUUUUAAAAAUAAAAUUUACCAAACACUUAACUUAUUCUCUUCACAGCUGAUUAUUUCAACAACACGGCUAACAGUAAUUAUUUUAAAAGCUGCAGCAUUACCAAACUAGCCCUAAUACUCUUUUCAACUGUUAUUAUGGGUGGCUUUUCAGUUUUCAUCACUCUUUCCAUAUUCCCUCAUGAAACUACCUGUCUUCACUCACAAUUCACAACGAGCUCAUCGAAAAAAUAAAUAAAUAUGGGGCGGACAAAGUUCAAAUUUAUUUUUUUGACCCUUACCUCCUCCCAGUCUUGAACCCACUACGCGAAAACCACCCCCUCGCAACGAACGCUGAGGCUUAUAUAAAUUCUAUUCAAUUUGAUGCUUGAUAUUUUUGUUUAAAAAUUUCUAAAGUAAUCUAAUUUCAAUAUAAUCCACCAUAUAGCACGUUUACCUUGCUUCUUCUCUUCUGUUUUGCAGCUAAAGUCUACUUAAAGCUCGGUGCUUGCAUUAUUUUGUUCUUAUUGAUCAAAGUUGGCGCUAAUAAACAGAAAAAAGUAAUUAAACGUUCUCCUUCGAUCUUGUGAUCAAGCCUCGUUGUUUUGCUUAUAGCGUACUGAGAUCAACUUUGUUAAUUGCAGAUAAAUAGCAGGUAUUGCAUCAAAGCUUGGAGAAUUAUUGGUGGAUGCUACCGUAAAACAAGCUCGCUAUCUGUUCUGUUUCAACAGCAUUGUUAAAGAACUUGAGGAUAAAGAAACUAAUUUGAAGGAGGCACAAGAUGGCAUCAAUGAAAGAGUAGAACAAGAACGACAAAUACACCGCGCCAUUGACAUUGAGAAAGAUGUAGAGAAGUGGCUGGCGGAUGUAGUCAAAGAAAUGGCCGAUGUCCAAACGUUGAAAGCAAAGAUAGCUGAAAAGAAGAGUUGUCUUAAUGGAUGGUGUCCUAAUUGGGGUUGCCAAUAUUGGAUGGGUAGAAAAGCAUCAAAGGAGACUAGCAAGUUGUCUAAUCUACAUGACCGCGGCAAAUUCAACACGGUUGCCCGUCCUAAACCUCUUCCAUCAGACAAAGAAAUUCCUAUUCCAAGAUUUGUUUCUUCUUUUGAGACUACACAAUUGACUUGCAAUCUGAUUAUUGAAGCACUGAAAAAAGACAGCACAAAAAUGGUGGGAUUGCAUGGUCUCGGUGGAGUAGGAAAGACAACCCUGGCAAAAUUUGUUGGCAAUCAACUUCGGCAAGAAAAGAUUUUCGAUGAGGUGGGGAUUGCCACUGUAUCUCAGGAUCCAAACAUAAUAAAUGUUCAAAGUGAGCUGGUAAAGUCGUUAGGUUGGGCGUUAGAUGAGGAUGGUGAAAAAAAGAGAGCAGACCGAUUGCGCAUGAUGUUCUCUGAGAGUAAAGGCCGCAAGAUACUCAUAAUCCUUGAUGAUGUCUGGAAAGAGCUCGACUUGGCGAUAGUAGGUAUUCCCGCCAAUUGCUGCAAAAUCCUUCUAACUACUCGCUUGCAGCAAGUUUGUGAUCGCAUGGGUUGUGACACGCGGAUUAAACUAGAUGCUCUAGACCAAGCAGAAGGAUUGGAUUUACUAAGAAAGCAUGCCGGCAUUGACGUUGCUCAUAAAACCUUGACUGAUGUUUCAAAACGAGUUGCUGAUGAAUGUAAGGGGCUGCCUUUAGCUAUUAAAGCUGUUGGAAGUGCACUAAGAGGAAGAACCGCUGAUGAAUGGAAUGUAGCACUGGAUAAACUACAAAAUGCAAAACUCGAUAAGAUAGAAGGUAUUGAUAAGGAUUCCCAGGGCGUUUACGGUUGUCUCAAAUUUAGUUAUGAUUAUUUGAAUGGUGAGGAUUCCAGGUCAUGCUUCUUGUUGUGUUCGCUGUUUCCAGAAGAUUAUAAGAUAGAUUUGGAGGAUUUGCUUGGAUAUGCAGUGGGGUUGGUUUGGUAUCAAGCUGAAUCAAUCGAAAAAGCCAGAAGCCUACUGCGUGGAACGAUCAAAGGACUCAAAGAUUCUUCAUUGCUGUUAGACACUGAUGAUGACAGAUUUGUGAAAAUGCAUGACGUAGUUCGCGAUGUAGCCAUAUGGAUAGGCUCAGAGGAGAAGAAAUUUUUUACUAGGAAAGGUAGCAUUGGAUUGGCGGAACGGGCAAGGGAAGAAGGCCUAGAACAAUACGGAGGAAUCUCUUUGGUGGGAAAUGGAAAAGAAGAGCUUCCUAGUGGUUUGGAAUGCCCUAGCCUUCAUAUUUUGCGAUUGGAGAAUACUGAAUAUGACAACAAAUUGCAAGUUCCAGAACAUUUUUUUAAAGAGAUGUCAGCAUUGAAAGUUGUCACUAUAAUAGGUGGAGUUCUUUCACUUAAAUCACUUCAAUUCCUCGCCAAUAAACUUCGAGUUCUGCAGUUGAUUCGAUGUGAGGUGACUGACGCGUCUUUCCUUGGAAAGUUAAGGACACUUCAAAUACUUUAUCUCGAGAAGUCUCCCAUUGAAAUUCCAGAUGAAUUUGGGGAUGAGCUUAGUAGAUUGAAACUUCUGUAUAUUGCUACUGCCUCUAUUUCUCCCAUUACGAUAAAUAAAUUUCCUCAAUUAGAAGAAUUUUAUGGUGUGAUAAAAAAUUGGGAGGUUGAAGGGAUGAGUUCAGAAGAAAGUUACGCUGGGCAUGCUGAGUUGA
rnacentral:lncRNA from 1 species